GGGGAAAGGCCGAAGGAGCUUAACUACCGUGGUUUCCUCGAACCUUAUCGUUAUAAAUCCUGUGGGUCCUGAAAUAAGUUUAAAUUGCCUGGCUGCUCAGGGGAGUUGGCAGCUAGAGGGGAAAUGAGUAGCUUCUUCCUCAAUGAGUUGUCACCGCCGUAAAAGAGAAAGGAUGAAGCACUUGGAGGUUCUUUUGGAAAGAGCGGGUAUGAAAGUGGCAUAAGAGGUCAUAUUUAGGAACAAAACAAAAUGACAAGAUGCCAAGAGUGCUGAAGCUUGAAGAAGCGUCCCAGCCAAAGGUACUAACUGUGCUUCAGAGCUACACUGGCGCGAGGCUACAAACCUCUCCUCCCACCCCCCUCACUGUCCUCCUCUGCGUUGCUGUUCGGGGGAGCUGCGUUGAGCCCAGGCCACACUGAGCUUCCUUUAGUUCCACUUAAUCAGUAGUCUGCACACGUGCUCCUAAAGGUGAGAGUUAAUAGACUGAGGCAGAUGGGUCUGCGUGAUAAGACCGAUUAUCUCUCAGGACAUCGUGGCACCGCCAUCCGCCAGGCACGAAGGUAUGCAGGGAUAUGCAGUCUUCUGUUUGGAACAUCAGAGGAAAACAACCUAAGGGUCUUUAAGCAAUUAGUAGCUUUCGCAUGACUGAACAGCUUGGCAGGAUGUGGUAUGGGCUGUGCAGAGUGGAAGAUAGCUGUUCUUCAAUUGAAAAACAUACAUUGUUUUGUAAAAUCACACGUAGCAGUUAAAUUUAAAGUUAUGAUAUUCAUCUGAAUGGUAAUAUAACAGAAAAACUAAUAUAAUGUCACCAGCAUUCCUGUUCUAUUCGGUAACGAUGUGACAUUGAUCAGUGUCUGUUAACUUACACUAGGUUUAGACUUUGCGGGGGUAAUGUUACUGUCAGAAUGUGGUUAAUCCUGAGAGCCAUGGG
rnacentral:lncRNA from 1 species